AUUGAACGCUGGCGGCAUGCUUUACACAUGCAAGUCGAACGGUAACAGGCCGUAAGGUGCUGACGAGUGGCGAACGGGUGAGUAAUGCAUCGGAACGUGCCCAGUCGUGGGGGAUAACGCAGCGAAAGCUGCGCUAAUACCGCAUACGAUCUAUGGAUGAAAGCGGGGGACCGUAAGGCCUCGCGCGAUUGGAGCGGCCGAUGUCAGAUUAGGUAGUUGGUGGGGUAAAGGCUCACCAAGCCAACGAUCUGUAGCUGGUCUGAGAGGACGACCAGCCACACUGGGACUGAGACACGGCCCAGACUCCUACGGGAGGCAGCAGUGGGGAAUGUUGGACAAUGGGCGCAAGCCUGAUCCAGCAAUGCCGCGUGCAGGAAGAAGGCCUUCGGGUUGUAAACUGCUUUUGUACGGAACGAAACGGUCCUGGUUAAUACCCGGGGCUAAUGACGGUACCGUAAGAAUAAGCACCGGCUAACUACGUGCCAGCAGCCGCGGUAACAC
rnacentral:rRNA from 1 species